CUACGCGAUUGGCUGGCGCAGGGGACGCCCGCCCCCUGACCUGUAUCUCGACCAUCUCCGGCCAACAUCGCAAGAUGCCCGUUCGCCGUGCCUCCAUCGACACUCCAGUGCGUGGUGCCGCCGGGGAGUCCACCCACUCAUCCCCUGGUAGUCCGGUGCGGUGUGCACUGCAACUGUUGGUGACCAGCAGUGCCGCCUCUCCCAUGUUCCUCUUACCAGCAACAAGCAGACAAGCACCGUUGAGAGAUGAACUUGCGAAGUUCACUCCAUCGCCAGCAGCAGGCCGCUUGGGGGCUUUGGGGCGCCAAGAUGGUAUGGCUCUGCGGCAAGAGGCUUGUGUUAACCAACAACCAGGGGGUGGUCAUCAAGGGUGUGGCACAGAGUCUGGCUACGUGCGUUGCCUCUGAACUGCUGCACGGUGAGCUGCACGAGGCAGAUUUCGAGUUGCAUCAGGUGGUGGUGGAUGGGAGGUCGGAGAGGGGCCACCGGUGUUGUUGUGUGGACACAGGCAUAAAUGCAAGAUACAACAAUAGCAGAUGUUAGUUCACAUGAGCAAGAACGAGCUCUCUGUGAAUAUUGAGCUCUCUGAUGUUCGGGAGACGGAGGACUGAUGUGGACCUCCCCCGAGGGCUGAUGUGGAUUUCCCCGCGAGCUAAUGCAGAUCUUCCUGAGCUCCUCGAUCUGCUCUGCAUGUCUCCCAUGCAAUCCGACAUUCUGCAGGUGUGCAUCUUCAAAAGGGACUUACUCAUUGUUAAGAUUAUUUAGAAUUUGCAUGAGUUUGUGAGCUUAUUGAGGUGAAUGAAGAUUCUGGACAACUUUCUUCAAGGAAACUUUGCAAUGUAGUUGGAGAAGUCGUGAUGCCGUGGUCAGCAUCCGAGGAGUUGGCGACCUCCCAAUCCCGCUGCUGCCCAAAAUCUCUCACUCAGAAGCUUAACCCAGUUAUUCUUGGGUUUUGGCUAGUUGAAUACUGCGGGUUUAUGAUGUUCUCAUGAAUGUCAUAUGUUUGUUGAAAACGCUCCUGUGCGCAUAGAUACAUGUAUGUGCAGCAAUGAGGAUGGAUGCGCUUAGCUAUGCGAUCUGGAUAGUCCACUUUUGUGUACCUCGACAUUUCAGUUGUAUGUAUAUCAGCAGGUCACCACGGUUCACCUUCUUUUUCUUUUGAGAAAAUGACUGUUAACUUCUGUCUAUAAAGUUUAAUCAAUUUAGGGAGUUCGU